rnacentral:rRNA from 1 species
UGGGUGGUAAUGCCGGAUGUGCCGGGCUCCUGCAUGGGGGUCCGGGAAAGCUCUGGCGGCGUGGGAUGGGGUCGCGUCCUAUCAGCUUGUUGGCGGGGUGAGGGCCCACCAAGGCUUCGACGGGUAGCCGGCCUGAGAGGGCGACCGGCCACAUUGGGACUGAGAUACGGCCCAGACUCCUACGGGAGGCAGCAGUGGGGAAUAUUGCACAAUGGGCGCAAGCCUGAUGCAGCGACGCCGCGUGCGGGAUGGAGGCCUUCGGGUUGUAAACCGCUUUUGUUU